GGAUUGCCCCAGUAACGGCGAGUGAAGCGGCAACAGCUCAAAUUUGAAAUCCGGCCCCCCUCCCCGGGGGGCCCGAGUUGUACUUUGCAGAGGAUGCUUUCGGCGCGGCGCCGUCCGAGUUCCCUGGAACGGGACGCCACAGAGGGUGAGAGCCCCGUCUGGUCGGACGCCAAGCCCCUGUAAAGCUCCCUCGACGAGUCGAGUAGUUUGGGAAUGCUGCUCAAAGCGGGAGGUAUAUGUCUUCUAAAGCUAAAUAUCGGCCGGAGACCGAUAGCGCACAAGUAGAGUGAUCGAAAGAUGAAAAGCACUCCGGAAGGAGGGUGAGAAGUACGUGAAAUUGCUGAAAGGGAAGCGCUCGUGACCAGACUUGGGCGCGGCGGAUCACCCGGCGUUCUCGCCGGUGCACUGCGCCGCGCCCAGGCCAGCAUCAGCUCGCCGCGGGGGACAAAGGCGGCGGGAACGUGGCUCCCCCGGGAGUGUUAUAGCCCGCCACGCAAUGCCCCGCGGCGGACUGAGGUUCGCGCCCCGCAAGGAUGCUGGCGUAAUGGUCACCAGCGACCCGUCUUGAAACACGGACCAAGGAGUCGUCCUCGUAUGCGAGUGUUCGGGCGUCAAACCCCUACGCGGAAUGAAAGUGAACGCAGGUGAGAGCCUCGGCGCAUCAUCGACCGAUCCUGAUGUUCUCGGAUGGAUUUGAGUAGGAGCAUACGGGGCCGGACCCGAAAGAAGGUGAACUAUGCCUGUGUAGGGUGAAGCCAGAGGAAACUCUGGUGGAGGCUCGCAGCGGUUCUGACGUGCAAAUCGAUCGUCAAACAUGGGCAUGGGGGCGAAAGACUAAUCGAACC
rnacentral:rRNA from 1 species